AGAGACAGCAGCAGCCGCGGGAAUACAGAGGGUGCGAGCGUUAAUCGGAUUUACUGGGCGUAAAGCGUGCGUAGGCGGCUUCUUAAGUCGGAUGUGAAAUCCCUGAGCUUAACUUAGGAAUUGCAUUCGAUACUGGGAAGCUAGAGUAUGGGAGAGGAUGGUAGAAUUCCAGGUGUAGCGGUGAAAUGCGUAGAGAUCUGGAGGAAUACCGAUGGCGAAGGCAGCCAUCUGGCCUAAUACUGACGCUGAGGUACGAAAGCAUGGGGAGCAAACAGGAUUAGAGACCCGAGUAGUCCCUGUCUCUUAUAC
rnacentral:rRNA from 1 species